rnacentral:rRNA from 1 species
UACGUAGGGUCCGAGCGUUGUCCGGAAUUAUUGGGCGUAAAGAGCUCGUAGGCGGUUUGUCGCGUCUGCUGUGAAAACUCGGGGCUUAACCCCGGGCCUGCAGUGGGUACGGGCAGACUAGAGUGUUGCAGGGGAGACUGGAAUUCCUGGUGUAGCGGUGAAAUGCGCAGAUAUCAGGAGGAACACCGGUGGCGAAGGCGGGUCUCUGGGCAACAACUGACGCUGAGGAGCGAAAGCGUGGGGAGCGAACAGG